GAUCAGCUGUGAUUCUCUGGUCUCAGCUCUGAAGUCCAACCCCUCCCAUAUGGAACAUCUGGAGCUGAGAUUCAACAACCUGCAGUAUUCAUCAGUGAAACAUCUGUUAGAUCUUGUGAAGAGUCCAGACUGCAGCCUGAAGACUCUAAGAUGGAAGUGAUGCUGAUCAGGACGGUGUUUGUGCUGAGAGGAUGAAGUGUGUCCUGAUGAUCCAGAGGUUGAAGCAGCAGCAGCAGCUGGUGUGUAGAGACUCUGACUGGACCAUGUUACUGGGAGGUGGACUGGGAACCAGUGUAAAGUGUGUUGUUAUCACUGUGUAGUUUAGUGUUGCAGCUCCACACUGUGAAUGAUGGAGAACUGCAGUUAAUGUUGACAUGAAACGUUGGCGGUUGAUGUCAGGUUGCAGAGUGUGCAGUAAGUUUCAGGAUGUUUCUGUCACUGCAGGAUCAUAUUUCAUUUGACUUUCUAUUUCCAGCUGCAGUCAAAGUUGUUGAGCUUCUCUACCUGCAACACAUUGAGCUGAUGAGAACAAAGUGUCCUGGAAACAUGUCAGCUGAAGCCUUGGUGCCCAGAGAGAGUUUCAUGAAGCACAUUUUAGUGGUUUUUGAUCACAUCAUGUUGAGGAGACAAACAGCUCUGAAGAUGAAUCCAGUUUAGUCCUCAAAGGUGCAGAAGCAGCUUGUUGAGCUCAGAGUUCAUAUUUAAUGUCAACAUCUUUUGACCUUUCUGAGCUCCAGUAAAUGUUUGUUCUAGUUUCUCUCUUCUUUACCUUCAGUCAGUUCCUCGUGUUCAGAAGCUUCCAAAUCAUGAAUAUUUUUUGUUUUCUGAGCUGCUGAUUUCUUUAAAUCCCACCAAAGACUUUAGCUGGGAUUAAGUCCAGGACUUUCCAGGAAGGAUUCCUGAAGCAGUCCUUGGUGGACAUUGGCUUGGGAUGCUGGUUCUUCUGAAAGUCCAGUGAGCUUCAGUUUCCUCACAUUGUUCUUGUAACUGUCCUGGUGUUUGAGAGAUUCCAUGAUGCUGCUCACAUGCUCCAGUUUAGCAGCUUCAAAGCCACCAACAGGACUGUUGAUGCUGUUCUUCUGGUCCUUCUGCCUCCAGAUGUUCUGCCCAAACAGUCCACUUUAGUCUCAUCAGUCCAUCAGACUCCCAGAACUCUGCUUUGUUCCACACAUGAAGAUCUUGUUGUUCAGUUUUGUCAGACUUUAGUUGUUUCCUUCAUCAGGUCCUGCAGCUCUUUACCAAUAAAACAGGUUUUCUACCAGCUGCUGCUGUCAAACAUCUGCUUCCUCUUGGACAGAUUUUGUCCAGUUUGAUUUAUUGACUCAGUUCAUCCACUGAGAUUCCUCCUGGUCCAUUCUUCAAAUGAGCCAGAAAAUCUUCAAGUCUUCAUCAACAUUCAGUCUCCUGGUGAACUCCAAGUAUUUUCUAUCCUCAGACUUAGUAAAGAACAAAACACCAAAGUCAGACUGGAAGUCAGUCAGAGUCAGAUGAAGUCUGAGAUUUACUGUCAUUUCAGCUCCAUGCAGCAAACAGAGGCUGGUUCAUGAACACAGACUCUGAUUCUGAGCUGAAAAUCCACAUUUUUACACUCUGACUGAUAUCUGCCCACUUGGAGCCUCAAUUCCAUGUUAUCAGUUCUUAAUCUUGUUCUGUAAAUUGUAUAUCAUUGUCUUUUAGUUUUGUCACUCUACUAGCAUCACCUCACUGUUGGUAAUAAUUCAUUCUCCUUUUUAAAACACGUAUGAAACAUAAUCCUGACUCAUCUUGUAAAUAACAAGAGCUUUUAAAUAAAGUAUGUCUUCACUUUUGCUAGA